rnacentral:rRNA from 1 species
UACGGGAGGCAGCAGUGGGGAAUAUUGCACAAUGGGCGCAAGCCUGAUGCAGCCAUGCCGCGUGUAUGAAGAAGGCCUUCGGGUUGUAAAGUACUUUCAGUCGUGAGGAAGGUGUUAAGGUUAAUAACCUUAGCAAUUGACGUUAGCGACAGAAGAAGCACCGGCUAACUCCGUGCCAGCAGCCGCGGUAAUACGGAGGGUGCGAGCGUUAAUCGGAAUUACUGGGCGUAAAGGGCACGCAGGCGGUUAAUUAAGUUGGAUGUGAAAUCCCCGGGCUUAACCUGGGAAUGGCAUUCAAGACUGGUUAGCUAGAGUCUUGUAGAGGGGGUAGAAUUCCAUGUGUAGCGGUGAAAUGCGUAGAGAUGUGGGGAAUACCGGUGGCGAAGGCGGCCCCUGGACAAAGACUGACGCUCAUGUGCGAAAGCGUGGGGAGCAAACG